UGGGGAAUAUUGGACAAUGGGCGCAAGCCUGAUCCAGCCAUGCCGCGUGAGUGAUGAAGGCCCUAGGGUUGUAAAGCUCUUUCGGCGGGGACGAUAAUGACGGUACCCGCAGAAGAAGCCCCGGCUAACUUCGUGCCAGCAGCCGCGGUAAUACGAAGGGGGCUAGCGUUGUUCGGAAUCACUGGGCGUAAAGGGCGCGUAGGCGGCCGAUCAAGUCGGGGGUGAAAGCCUGUGGCUCAACCACAGAAUUGCCUUCGAUACUGGACGGCUCGAGACCGGAAGAGGUCAGUGGAACUGCGAGUGUAGAGGUGAAAUUCGUAGAUAUUCGCAAGAACACCAGUGGCGAAGGCGGCUGACUGGUCCGGUUCUGACGCUGAGGCGCGAAAGCGUGGGGAGCAAACA
rnacentral:rRNA from 1 species